GGGCUGUUCCAACUUUACGGAUUUCCCCAACAGCAACUCGCAACAGUCUGGGUGUUUUGAGACCAUCUAGUUUGUCUUGUUCUGGAUAUUCAUAAUUUCUUCUGCUUUAUUGGAUGGAAUUUUUAGACAUGUCAAUUCUGCUUUUUGGAUGCAUUUAAUAUGUCAAUUCCGAAGUUUAUAACGCGUGCUUACCUACAAGUUUUUCAGUUUGUGUGGACUACACAGUAGACUAAAAUUGUAACAUCACAAAGGCCAUUUGACGUACAUAUGUUUGGCAUUACAACUGUAAUGUCUUGCAUUGUACUUGUUUCAGGAGAAACAACAAUGUACUAGAUCAUGUGGCUAUGCAAAAUGAAACUACUGGAAAUAAGGAUGGAAAAGCAAAUGCAUGUGAUAAUGGACUCGCUCCACAUCAUAUGGAUACUACAUCAAGGGUAUGUCAAUAAAUUGUUCUAAAAAAGGCUGCUGCUAUUGAAUUUUCUUCUGUAUAUGGAGAUGAACAUCUUAUUAUUAAAGAAAUAGGCAUAUCAGCCUCAGCAUAAGAUAUGCUCAACCACAAAAAGUUCAAAAAUAAGUCUACCAAAAAGUCUCUUCGAUCUCCUUUUAAGUUAUUAGGACAAGUUAAUAAGACACUACACCUUCCAAUAAUUGCUACACUAAAGAGAAGCUAGAGAGCCAUUAUUAAAUAAUCCAAGAGCAAUUGAGACCGAGAAUAAUUUAGUACUGAGUUUCAUUAAUGCCCCCAAGUGGCAACAUAGCACUCUUCAAAAUAGAUUUAUACUUUUAUAUUACUUAGUAGACUUUGAAGUAAUAAGAAGUAGACUUAGUAAAAGUUAAACGACAACACUCCUUUGGUGACAUUCCUGAUUCCACAACUUAUAUUGCUACUCUAGCAACAAAUAUUGCAGAAACCAAAACAAUGAAUUAACUAUUCACAACCAUAAAACUUCAUAGAAGGCCAUGAAGUACUAAAACAAAAGAAAGGGGCAAAAGAGAGUGAAAGAUAUUACUCCUUCGAAAAGGAAAAUGGGACGUGGGAAAAGAUGUGAAAUGUUAGAAUCUGUCAUUCUUUUGUUCAGUGGCAGAGCAAUGUAAGUAAUGAUAGCUGAAAAAGGAAACAGAUAAGCAUAUCUUAGGCUCCGGAGCAUCAUACAACUGAAAAAGGCUACUUAUGGGUUGUACUUUCGUAUUCUUAGUUUUGUUUGAAACAUAGGAUGCUUAAGAUACAAUUUUAUGCCAAAAAAGAAAAAGAAAAAUGGUGGAGUGAAGAUUUUCUACUAUAUACUCAAGUACAAGAAUGAAUCUUGAUGGAAGGAACAUAACAUGAUAGCUUAACACAAAACUUGCAACUGUGGAUUUCAAAGUCAAAAAAUACACCUUGUUGUCUUUCGGUUUAACUUUCCUUCUUUAUCGGCAAGCCUAUUUCUGUAUUUUUGCUUCAGGGUAUAUGCUUGUGACGUUACAACUACAUCCCGAGCAGACGAUAUAGGAUGCUUAGGGGUUGUACCUUCGUAUUCUUAAUUUUGUUUGAAACAUAGGAUGCUUAAUAUACAAUUUUAUGCCAAAAAAGAAAUUUAAAAAUUGUGGAGCGAAGAUUUUCUUCAAUAUACUCAAGUACAAGAAUGAAACUUGAUGGAAGGAACACAACAUGAUAGCUUAACACAACUUGCAACUGAGGAUUUCAAAGUCAAAAAAUACACCUUGUUGUCUUUCGGUUUAACUUUCCUUCUUUAUCGGCAAGCCUAUUUCUGUAUUUUUGCUUCAGGGUAUAUGCUUGUGACGUUACAACUACAUCCCGAGCAGACGAUAUAGGAUGCUUAGGGGUUGUACCUUCGUAUUCUUAAUUUUGUUUGAAACAUAGGAUGCUUAACCUACAAAGUUAAUUAUUUCAUCAAAAGGGAAGUAGAAUUUAUGGGAGAUACAAUUUUAUGCCAAAAAAGAAAAAGAAAAAUGGUGGAGUGAAGAUUUUCUACUAUAUACUCAAGUACAAGAAUGAAUCUUGAUGGAAGGAACAUAACAUGAUAGCUUAACACAAAACUUGCAACUAAGGAUUCCAAAGUCAAAAAAUACGGUUUGUUGCCUUCGGUUUAACUUCCCUUCUUUAUCGGCAGGCCUAGUUCUGUAUUUUUGCUUCAGGUGUAUGCUUGUGAUGUUACAACUACAUCCAGAGUAGACGAUAUAGAAAGUAGUUAAUGGACAUGUACUUUCACUAAUAUUGUUGUUCCACACACCAUAUAAAAUCCUUUUACUUGUCAAAAUAAUCAUUAUACAUCAACAGCAAAACAUAUGAUUUUAAAAAAUAACAAUCAAGUCAUCUUGGUUUCCUAAAAUGACACUUAUUUCAUAUCAACUUUGAAAGGCUAAAACAACAUUUAAAAUGGACUGGAGGUAGUACCAUUUAUUUUCUUUUUUCUUCAUAGUGCUAUUUCUUUGAUAAGGUAAACUUAACCCCAUACCCAAGAGCCCAAUAAUGACUCUUUUUCUCACAUUGCGCCAUCAGUGACUCAAACCUCUUGUUAUAUAUAAAGGUGGAGGUUCCUUACCACUAGACCAUCCCUCCGUGUCACAUUUAUAUACUACUUAUAUAAGAGCUUUUAGGAGUUAUAUGUUACAUGCAGUAGUCAAUUCCGUACUCCAAUGUUGCUCUCUUCCAAUCACACCUCAUUUCUAACAUUUAAGUCCUUCUAUUCCCUAGGCCAAAUUUGUGUUGUAUAACCUCUUUCCAUAGUGCAUGCUCCUCUUGGUUGUACCUCCAUAGCCACUUGCUUAGCAGACUUUUGUUAUGUAACAUGAGCUUCCUUACUCCCAGACCCCCAUUAUUCCCCCUUUGUUGAACUUCUGCCCAUUUUACUAAAUUGAAACUGUUAGAAUAUGAAUAGGUUUAUACAAUCCUAUUAGAAUAGGAAUAGGUUUAUACAAUCCUAUUAGAAUAGGAAUAGGUUUAUACAAUCCUAUUAGAAUAGGAAUAGGUUUAUACAAUCCUAUUAGAAUAGGAAUAGGUUUAUACAAUCCUAUUAGAAUAGGAAUAGGUUUAUACAAUCCUAUUAGAAUAGGAAUAGGUUUAUACAAUCCUAUUAGAAUAGGAAUAGGUUUAUACAAUCCUAUUAGAAUAGGAAUAGGUUUAUACAAUCCUAUUAGAAUAAGAAUAGGUUUAUACAAUCCUAUUUAGAAUAGGAAUAUGAAUACAAAUAGGAAUAGUUAAUAGUAUCCAACUUGGUAAAUGAUUGUAUUCUAGUGUCUAUAAAUAGGGUCUCAAUGUAAUAAUGUAGAGACAACAACAAUUCAAUAAUAUUCUUUUUCAACAUUUCUCACAAUUGAGACAACAUUCCUCCAUAUGAUAUCAAAUUCACUUUGUCCCAUUUCAUCGCAUCCAGUCAUCAUUUAUGUGCUACAACUUAAUGCAAUAAAGUCAAGCUAAAACCAACUUAUCAUCAAAAAAUACAUGUUAUGGUAAAAACCUUAUCAUCAAAAGAAAUCUACCAUUGUCUUUUCAUCACUACUCAUAUCUACAAAUUAAUUACUUCUUGAAGUGACAAAAGAUGUUCUCUUUAGCUUAAUAUAUUUUCUAGCCCUUUGAUUCCAAUAAUUUAGCUGUAUUGUCUUAACAUGUACAUUCAUAGUGCAAUAUUAUCCAAAGUAUGUACAACUAAUUGACAUGACAAGUUUUAGUAUGAUUGCAAGUAUCACGAUGAGUCAUGGUAACCAUACUUGUUCAACCUGAUAAAAGAAAAUAGCAAUCAGAUAAUCCCCACAGCCAAAAAUAGUGCUAACAUAGAGACUUGAAAUUAGUGCUAGAAAGGAAUCGUAAAAAGCAUUUCAAAGUUAAGAGAAUAUGAGGACAAAUCAAAGCACCGGUACCUACUACUCUAUUUAAGUAACCUUACCAUUAUGUCAAUAAAGACUACAAUCAUAAGGAAAAAUCCAACAAUUUAUCCGUAACUCCUCCAUGUUUUUGUUUGUUCCACUUCAUUGCUCUUUUCUUUUUCGUCAAGUAACUGAAUCUAUGUUUCCUUCCUUUGCAUCUGUUGCAAAUAACACAUCUUCUGUCUCUUUUCCUCAUAAUCUCUUGGGUAACUUAUCAAUCCAUCAAAAAAAAAAAUGUAAUUAAGAGGUUAUAUUUAUAUCCUUCGAGUAUAAACAUAUUGAUACUUGAAACUGCACAACUGAGUCCAUCUGGAAGAUCAGCACCUAAAAUCCUAAAUGAGCAAAAUGAAUAGUUUCAUUUGUACUAACUGCCAGAAAACUAAAUAAAAAAUCUUCUAGUUAAGAUAACAGCUGCAUUAUUAAUCAUCCAGUUUGUGAGGUAUUUCCAUUCAUUCCAAUAAACUGAAACAGAAAAUGUGGAAAGCACCCGAAGUAGUAAACAACUAAUAGACUCAUCACACGGAGGUAGAGACACAAUUUGAUCUGUUGAAAACACAAUUCAACAAUCAGUUUAUUUAUUUCUAUGGAUACAAUACACUUCUUAAUUUUAAGAAACUUCUUCUUCCAAACAUCUCUUUGGCUUUUAUCUAAGAAUUGACAUGCCACCUCUGUUCUGUUUUUUUGGUAUAUACAAGAAAAUACAAAUAUACAAGUGUUUCCUCAUCGACAAUCUUCUUUGCAGUCUAGAACUAAAAUUGAGAAUUUCAAAAGCAAGUCAGGUAAUAGUGUAUGUUCAAUCUCUUUUGUGAUUUGGUACAUCCUUGCAUAUUUCAUAACAACUACUUGAGGUACCUUAUUUAAUUACUGCUUGACAUUAAUUGCUCGAGGUCUCCAGCCAGAAACUAUAUUUUCGAAGAGCUCGGUGUGGAGCAAAAAUAGGAUAUCCUAGAGGUCAACAACGGCUCUCGACAACUUAAGCUACAUCUCUGCUUAAAUUUGUUUCGGUUAAUGAAUCUACUUCUAGAAAGCUCUACAAAAUUGAAAUCAAACAAAUAUCAUAUAUUUGAAAGACAUGUGUUGCUAUAUCUACCGGCAUCAACAGACUUAUGCAGACAUAGGCACAUUUCAAUUAAGUAAAUUUUUUAUAACCGGAGAAAUCCCCGAGGUUCCAAACUCAGUGGAUCUUGAGCACAGCUUCUUCCCACCCACCUCCUAUCCAUCCCCCAACCCCAGCCCACCCAAAAAGAGGGUAGUGAAUUUGAAAGCACUUCUGAACCUUUUUAAUUUAUUAGAAAGCACCUUAAAUAGAAUCUUGUAAAUGCUUCCUACCGGACUAAUAGGUCUAUAGUCCUUUAUACUUGUCACACCUUCCUUCUUUGGCACAUUAGUAACAAAGGAUGCAUUAAGACUUUUCUCGUACUCCCCUGAAUUCUGAAUUCUGCAAUGGUCACCAACAGCUCACAUUUGACUAUCCUCCAACAUUGUUGGAAAAGAGCAAACGAGAAUCCAUCAGGACUUGGAGCCUUGUCACCCAGACAACUAUCCCUCACCUCUUCUUCUUCUACAGCCCUUUCCAACCACUCCCUCACCCCCUCCCCUAUUAGGUUAAAUACUAGCGCCCCCCAGAAUUUUUGUCUCCACCUGAUAACUUCCUUGAACGAAUGUUCAUAAAACCAUACAAUGGCCUCCUCCACUUCCGCCUCCCCCUCACGCGCCUAUAAAAACGAUAAAGUUUCUCUUCCUAUUUGCUAUGGCUACCCUAUGAAAGAAUUUUUUGUUAGAAUUCCCCCUCUUUCAACCACAAUGCCCUCAAAUUUUGCCUCCAACUAGUCUCUUCGGCAACCGCUAGAGCCGCAAGCUCCCUCUUUGCCUACUCAUAUCUGACCUUCUCCCUUUCUUCUAACAUCCUCAUCCCUUCCACAUGCUCAAUCUCCCCCACCUCAUUUAUUAGCUCUCUUAUUUUAAACUUUCACCCUCCCAAACACCUCUUUGUUCCAUUUACUUAUAUCUCCGUUUACAAUUUCAACUUACAGGCAAGUCGAAAAGAUGGUGUGCCAGUUUUUAUUCUUGAAAAACUUCAAACUAUAUUAAAAAUAAAUAUCACAUGACUUGAGCAACUAAAUAUGAUGGGAUCCAGUUUUAGUAGCCCAGUGAUUCAGGCAAUACAAUUUUUAGUCAUUUUAUUCUCGUGACAGGGAAAUUUCCCCAUAGAACUAAGAAGAGAUGUCUAUAGAUAUUUCAUCAUAAGCCAUACCACGGCAUUCAACAAUUUCUUUGCUAAAUUCAUACCUACGAUCAAGUCACAAUAUGUCAGAAAGUGCAAUAACAGUUAUCCUGUUACAAUAAAUAGACACAUAGAAACAUAUACAUUAAGAUGUCAAUAACCUAUAGGUCAAGAUAAAAUACCAACAUAUUCUAUUUGGAAAUACUUCGAAAAUACUCUCCACACAAUUUCUUCUUGUUCCCCUGUAUAAAAGGCAACGUGGUUAACAGAGCACCAAAUCUCAGGUAAGCUUCCUAUAGACUUCUCAACAUAACUAGAAAGCCGUAAUCUGAAAGCACUUUUAAAUAAAUUUUAGGAAUGCUAGUAAAGGCCAAAUUAGUUAUUUUCUACACCUUCAAGAUUUAUCCUACCCUUAUCUUCUAGAACUCUAUAGUGUUCCAUUGUUCUUUAGAUGUUUUUAGCUGGUACAAUAUCUUACAAAAGUAGAAAAGACAGAAUUUUUAACUACUUUGAUGUACAUUACUCGAGCUGAGGAUCUUGCUGAAAUAGCCUCUCUACCUCUACGAGGUAGGGGUCUGUGAACACUCUAUCCCAGACCCCGCUUAUGGUUCUACAUUGGGUUUGUUGUUGUUGUUGUUAGCAGAGGAGAUGAGCACCACUCAUGGAAUGUCGGAACACCUGUUACAGGUUCCUGCAUUCAAAUACAAGACCAGUGAUCCAAAACAAUUCAGUUUCUGGUAAUUCAUAUUCGCUACUGGUUUUGAUUUUGCAAAAUCUAGGUUCCACAGUUUUUAGUUACCAAAAAAAUGAAAUUCCUGAUCCCUGUUUGAUAAAAUAAACCAAAAAAUUGAACCGUGUGGUAGAAGGGAAUAUUCCCACCUCGAACCCUGACUGAAUUCCCACCUCAAACUUCAACAGUGUUGGUAUAAGGGAAAAUUUUAGAAAAUUUCCCAGUCCCUUGGAAUGAUGAUGACUUCUGUCCUCAGUUAGCCAGAAGCGUUUUCUUCAUCCAUGAAAAAGAGAACUACAUAAACAAAUUUUAUAGUCCUGUUAAAUUUUCCAGUGUUUUACUUGGAUUAGAGGAAAAUUUGGACUUUGUGCUGUAUUAUUUCACCAAAAGGAUACCCGUACUUGCAAUCUUUGCAUAUGAUCUCUGUUUAUCUUAGACUUUUGGUCCAUCAACCAAAGCAUGCCACAAACUACUAAACAAGUCUCACAUAAAAUUCAACUUCUCACCUUUGGUAUAUCACUUGUAGGUUUAUAUUUCGGUGGCAACAUAUGCUGACUUAGAGAUGAAUGGUGAAUUAUCAAUGAAGAUUUUUGUCUGAUCGUAGCAGGGUUAUUAGAAACUUGCAACCAACAACAGUAGAAAUUUUCAUAAUAGCCUACAACUUUUGCUUCCACGUUAAACAUAAACAGUAUGAGUUUAACAAUAAAAGUGCAGCUAUAAAAACAUAAUCAUGUCUGAUACUUUGAAGAGUUUGUUUGGAACUUGGACAACUAUAUUGAUGUUUAUAUCUUAUACUGAAAUUAAUUUGAAUAAACCUACUUGACAAAUGCCAGAAACUUGACGAAGUUACAUCUACCUAAACGGCAUAAACAGUAUAUCAACUAACAAGAACUAAUCACAAAGAAAGGGAAACCAAGAAAAAGUAAGAAAAAAGAGAGCAACAUUCCAAGAUUCAGUUUUCCAGAUUCAAGAAUGCAAGAAAGUGGAGAAAUUGAAAAGUAUGUUCUCAAGAAUAUAUAUGGAAAAAUAUGAAGUAGGAACAAAUAGUACUUGGUAGUAUUUAAUAAAAGCUCAACAAGGAUUUCAGAUGAAUACAGAACAUAUAUAUUACAGAAGAGAACAAAUUAAGGAUACCUUUAUCACCUAACUGGUAGUCCUUAAACCUCAACUCCUCCUGGCUUUUAUCUUUAUAAGUCUGCAUUAUAUUCCACAAAUGGAUUGAAUUUUUCCACCACCGGGUCCUGUGAUAUCGUUCUCUAGAGUUGCAAUAUAUGAUGUUAUUCUACUUCCUUUCUGAUUAAUGCCAAAUGCUGACUUUCCAAAACCAGAGCUCUUGAGAAAGGGUGGUCUGUACUUUCUUUUCCUGGUUUGCAAAUUUGAUCAAGAUUGAACACUUAAAGAUAUCAAAAAAUAUGAAGUAGGAAUAAAUAGUACCUAGUGGUAUUUAGUAAAAGCUUUCAGAUCAAUAUAGAGCAUAUAGAUUACAGAGAAAAAUUCUCCCUCAAAACGUUGAUUAAUCUGCUCCAAUACAUGAGAAAAUGGACAAUAAAGUUAACCUUUGCACCCUAACAUGGAUUCUUCUGGUUGGCCAAAGGAGUAUGAAUCAAGUCUUGGGGUGCCAAAGUGUGAGUUGCUUGAAACAACAAAUGCAGGAGCUCUUGGAUAUCCAAGUAUGGAGGAAUCUGAGACAUUGACAUCCCUGGACCACACUAGACGUUCAUUGGCCACACUAAUAAAGUCAUAUUUCUUUCCAAGGUAAAGUGGAGGAGCCCAAAGAUACGUUUUGUGUUUGACCAGAUGUAGCAUUUGUUGCUGCACUAAAGUCUAAUGGUACUGCAGUUAGGAAAGCAGAUUGAAUUGAUUUUCUAAUCACUAAUUAAAGACAACUACAAGCAUGAAUACCUGGCACAAGAUCGGUUCUAGAAAUUGUAAGCAAUAACACUACCCACCAUAAGAAAUCCCACUGAUGUACUGCAGUUAUUACUAACAUUUUUUUAGAAGCGUACAACUCAAGAAGCAUAGCUACUUCCACAAGGAGCAGAUUUAGCUUUUCGACCAAUUCCAAAGCCGCCUUGCUUCUCUAGAAAAGUAAAUAUGAUAUCUCUUCUUUCAUGAAAUUGGCAGUAGUAAGUGUAGCAUCUAUAAAUGUCAAUCCUCACCUUGACCACAGGCGAGAAAGAAUGCUACAAUUAAUCCAUUUGGCAAAGAAAUCAUUGGGAAAAACAUAUUCAAAGAGUGUGUGUAGGUCAUUCCCUAUUUCCCAUGCAAUAGCCUAUGUGGUCUUUCUGCUGAGACAUAGUAAUGCACCAAAAUCAAGCUAGAAACAAAAUUAAGUUUUGAAGAAUAUGCAAGAAAGUUGGAAAAUGUUGUUAAGAGUGUAUGAAAACAAAUUCUUGGUAUCAAUCUUUUUUUCUUUUCUUUUCUUUUCUUUUCUUAUAGUAGUGUUAAUCUACGUCAUGCCACUUUUCUUGGAUCCGCGUUACAUGGAUUGUUGAACCUGAUUUCAACUAAAUUGAUUCAUAUGCUUAUGUAGUAAUGUAGACUAUGUGUACUAAUUAAUACCAAGAACGUUCUCUUGGGAUUACAAUAUAUAGAAACAGAUAUAUAAUGGAUUUGGAAAAGGGUAAAUUAAAGGGGAACCAAGAAAAAGGAAGAAUAAGAGAGCAACAUUCCCCAGAUUCAGUUUUCUGAAUUCAAGAAUGCAAGAAAGUGGCGAAUGCCAUGGUAUGGAGAUUGUACCGACCACAUAAACUAUCAAGUAACAACAUGUAAGUAAUGAAAGAAAAUUUACAAAUACUCAUAAACACAGGACACAAUGCAUCAAAAGCCCUAAAGAAUGAAAUUUUACUCACUUGUAGCCGUGAAUAUCGACGACAGACAGACAGACAAAACAAAGAAGAAGGACCCUUUUGAUUGUCAAUGUUUUGGAAUGGUGGAAUAUAUAUAGAGAAGAAUAAGAAGAAGAAAGGUUGCAUAAUCUUUCUUAACCUGUUGCUUAAGCUAAUAUCCUUUCCAGCUUGCUAUUUAAGCUAAUAUACAACUAAUUAAAAGACAUGUUUUUUUCCCUCAAUUAUUACUUAAAAUAAACUAGAUACAAAAAUUCAGGCUUAUUAUUUUAAUUUUUAAUUUAUACGACAUAAAUAGAAUUAGGAGAGUCAACUAAUUUUUUAAAUAUUUUUAUUGUUAAUUAUUUAUAUAAUAUUUUUCAAAUAAUAUAAAUAGAAUUAGGAGAAUCAACUAAUUUCUUAAAUAUUUUUAUUGUUAAUUAUUUAUAUAAUAUUUUUCAAAUAAUAUAUGUGGCACUUGUAGCGAUGAAUAUCGACGACAGACAAAACAAAGAAGAAGAAGAGGAGUCCCUUUUGAUUGUCAAUGUUUUGGAAUGGUGGUAUAUAUAGAGAGAAUAAGAAGAAGGUUGCAUAAUGUCUACGCAUAUAUUAAAUCGUAAGCGUAUUUUUCUUACUCUUUAAGUUAAUAUCCUUCUCAUAUACGAUUAAUUAAAAAACACGUUUAUAUAUAGAAGAAGAAGAAGAAAUGUUGCAUAAUGUCUACGCAUAUAUUAAAUCGUAAGCAUGUUUUUCUUACUGUUUAAGCUAAUAUCCUUUCCAGCUUAGUGUUUAAGCUAAUAUCCUUCUCAUAAACGAUUAAUUAAAAAACACUUUUUUUUCUCAAUUAUUAAUAAAUUAGAAACAAAAAUAAAGGCAAGUUCGGAUCCAAUAUAUAUUAGUUUAUUUAUUUUAAUUUAUGUAACACAAAUAGAAUUAAGAACGUCAAUUAAAUUUUAAAAUAUUGUUUUAUUGUUAAUUAUUUAUACAAUAUUUUCAAUGUACUUUUCAAAUAAUAUAUGUGGCACAUGUAAUAUUUAGAGAGUUUAUCAAUAUUUUAAAUUGUUAAUUAUUGUGAUUUAUGUUACACGUGAAAUUUGGAGAGUUAAUCAAUUUUUUAAAUAUGUUUUAUUUUAAGAAGACACAUACUUUAUAUUUCUUAGUUAAUAUAAUUUUUAAAUAAUAUAUAUUACCCCUUUUGUCUCAGUUUAUGUGACAUAGGUGAAAUUUCAAAAGAUAAUCAGUUUUUUAUUAUAUUUUUAAAAAUAUUUUAAGUCAUUAGUUAUUGAGAUUUAUAGUAAUUUUAACGUAAUUUUCAAAUAAAUUAUGUUACUCUCUUAGUCCCAAUUUAUUCCGCAUAAUCGAAAUUUUGAAAAUUAAUCAAUUUUUUUAUAAGUAAUUUCUGAAUACAUGAUAUUAAGAAAAAAUAAACAAAAAUAAUUAAAUAUAAAAUAGAUGAAUUCUAAGGAGAAGGGCAAAUCGAUACCCAUGUAGUUAUUACAAUUUUGAAUAUUACAAUUAUUCUUGUAGCACCAUAGUACUCCAUCUCCAUUAAAAAAUAAUCAAACAUAGCAAAAAUAAAAAAUAAAAUCAUCCAAAUUCAAGUAUAUAAAUAAUUUUAAACGUAAAAUAAAAAGAUAUUAAUUAUUAAAUCUUUGCAAACUAUAUGGCCUAUUUGUUGGUGUUUUUUGACGAUAAUAAUUGAUAAAAGUAUGUGUGACAAGUAGAAUUAAAGAGUUGUUACCACUUUUUGUCUGUGUCAACCCUCCUGGUCCAUGACGUUUAGCCUUGUGCUUGAGCCACCCAUGUAAAUAUCGUCGCAAAUAUGACAAGCAGAACAACUUUUCCCGUGACCUUUCGUAGCUUAUGUUGGAAAGAGAAAAGAAAUAAAAAAGACAGAGAGUCCAAAUAUGAGGUGUCGGUUUACUAAGCACUUGUUGGCUGUUGCAACACAAAAUUAGUCAAAUAAGAUAUGUCGAGGGAUAGUGCUAUUUAUAAGCAAGAAAAUGCGAAGAUUAGAUAUAAAUGAUUCUUUGGCAUGUAAACAAAUUAGUUGUCAAUGAACAAUGACAUCUCAACUUGUCACACAGGUUUUUAUUAAUUAUUAUUGACAAAUUUGUAUCCAACCUACUGUUUAAGCUAAUAUCCUUCUCGGUUUACUAAGCACUUGUUGGCUGUUGCAACACAAAAUUAGUCAAAUAAGAUAUGUCGAGGGAUAGUGCUAUUUAUAAGCAAGAAAAUGCGAAGAUUAGAUAUAAAUGAUUCUUUGGCAUGUAAACAAAUUAGUUGUCAAUGAACAAUGACAUCUCAACUUGUCACACAGGUUUUUAUUAAUUAUUAUUGACAAAUUUGUAUCCAACCUACUGUUUAAGCUAAUAUCCUUCUCAUAUACGAUUAAUUAAAAAAUAAGUUUUUUUCUCAAUUAUUACAUAAAGUCAAAGUCACCACUAAAGUGUUCCGGAUUUUCAUAAAGACACCUUAACUUUGGGGACGUCCUAUUGUCCCACAAAAGUAUUGAAUAUAUAUGUAAAUGAACAUUUUGACGAUUUUCUCUACUGUGAACACACGCGUGAUACUCACUCUUUUAAUUAAAUCUAAUUUAAAUUGAUUUCUUCAAACCAACCAAACCCGAAUCAUUUCAAAAAAGAGAUCUCUUGUUCUCCAUUUUUCAUUUCUUAGUUUAUGUCUGCAUUUUCUUCAAUCAGAGGCAUUGUUGAAGAUCAUCUCCUACAAUUUCAACGUUUGUUUGCCAAAUUUCUUGGAGUACUAGCUUAUUAAACAAGGAAUUGAAGGUUAACAUGUUUGAGAUUAAAUGAUAAAUGAGGGGGGAAAGAGUGAUAUUAGGGCUUUAAGUCGUCUAUGUGGAGGUGGGGUGUGUUUGGCGUGCACAUGUGGAGUCCAUGUGGCAUUUUAGCACCACACGUGGAUGUUUUUGUUAAACAGAAGGGCAAGCGUGGUCCAAUAGUUAGACGGAAAGGACAUUUUUGAGCCGAAAUACAGUUUAAGGCUAUAUUUAAGCUAUUUCGAAUAGUUUAAACGUAGUUUUGACCCUUUUCCGUAGUCGUCUAUGUGGAACUGGGAUCUGUUUAACAUGCACGUGUGACAUCCAUGUGGCGUCCAUGUGGCAUUUAACACACACAUGGAUACUUCCGUUAACUAGAAGGGUAACAUUGCCCAAUAGUUUGACGGGAAAGGUAUUUUUUAGCCGAAAUAUAAUUUAAGGAUAUAUUUAAGCUAUUUCGAAUAAUUUAAGCAUAGUUUUGACCUUUUUCCAUUCCUUUUAUUCUAUUCUAAAAAAAAAAAUUGACCCCUCAUAUACUUGGAAAUUAUUUAAUUUAGCAUUCAUAAAUUGCCCUCCAGUCCAUUUUAGGUAAUUUUUAAAAGGUUUGACCAGAUUCUCAUUAAUAAAAUGAGUUAUUUUAUUCAACAUUUGUUCAAUAUUUUAUUAGACAAGGAUAAUUUUGGAAAAAAAGUUAUUAAUAAAUUUAUAGAAUUUUAAAUUCCACAACCAUAUUUAGACAAAUUUUUAAUGUUACAUUACUACCAUGCAAAUCUGAAUUAGUGAAGCAAAUACAUUUUUGAACAAUGAAUAAUUAAAAAGAAUCACAUCAACAACAAUAUAAAGAUAUUCAGAAGCAAGACUUUUAAUUUUAUAAUUGGACACUAGACCAUUAAACUAUUACUCCUUAUUUGUUAAAAUCAACUAAUUGAAGAUUGAAAGGUACUAUUUGGUCAACCAUUGCCAAAGCUAAAAAUGGAAAUUUAUAGUCAAAGCAAUUACCAUUCUUGAAACAAAGCAAGUACAUAAUAAAUUGUCCCAAUGAGAUGACUAAACGUAAUCACAGAUGCUUAAUUUUGGUGAAUAAAUUACUCGAUAUUUGUGCUGACGGCGAGGCUGCCUUGCUUGUCUUGUUUUAGUGGCCAAUACUCAAUGUACUUGAUGUUUCCUUUAGGAAUCAAUAUGCCAUUAUGCAUUGAUCAUUAAUUUGCUCAUUAUCGUGACAUAAAAACUAAAUACGUCUUCAUAUAAAGAUUAAACAAAGAAUAUGUAAGGCUCUUCAGUGGUGACGGCAAAUGAGUUGAAAAUGGGUCAAACAAAACCGAAACAUAACCCAACUCGCUCAUAUUUCAUACACUGGGUAUGAUCACUUUGUUUUUCAGGUUGACCAUUAGAGUUCUGAGAACCCAGCAAGUUAAAUCAUCACAAAGAGGCAGAGGCUAAGCCAGAACAUCUGGGUUGGACCUGCAGCCGAAGACAAACAAAGAAGCUCACCAUUUAGUCAUUAAUAAGCUUCAAACAUACUCCAGUAGUUUUGAAAACAUUAUGUGUGAGUGUGUGAAAACCUUAAAAACAGCACAUCAAUAAUGCACUACUUUGAACAAGUUUGACAUAUGAACCGAAAACAUCACAACUCACAAGUGCAAUAAAUAAUGUUUCCACUAGAUUAAGCUGAUUGAAUCAAGAUUGAUUUUCACAAGAGAUGGGAACAUUGAAAAACAACCAACAUAAGAUUAGAGCAACACACUGAGACAUCAUUGACUGUUACAACUUAUACAUCCAUGUAGACACUGCUAACUGAAUAAAGACCACUUUUUUUAAUGAUUCCACAACAUCUUGUCUGUGGAAAUUGUAUCCAUACUCAUUCCACCUAUCUUCCCUAGUAACUCUACAACCAUUUCCACAUCCCAAUCAUUUACAAGUCUUCUAAAGGAUAAAUCCCAUCCCUGUUCUGGCCCAACAGUCCCCUACAUUAGCAUCAAGACUCACACAAAUUUGGAAAAGAUUCCUAAGAGGGAAUUGUUCUAUCCAGAAAUCCUUCCAGAAUCUUGUUUUACUGUCAUUUCCACUUUGAUAUAUAAGUCUGCCUUCAUUUGAGGCCACAAACUUCUGAUUGUUCUCCAUAGUCCCACACCCCGUAAGGUUCAACUGUGUUAUCUGUACACCAUUGGGUUAGCUCACCAAACACUCAGCUUUAAUCACCUCUUUCAAGAAAGCAUUUCUCUCCUCAAUGUACCUCCACAUCGACUUCUUCAGAAGACUUACAUUUUGCAAUCUCAAAUUUCUAAUCCCCCCCCCCCCCCCCAGUCUUUGUUAAGAAGUACAGUCUUCCAGUUUACCACCGGAGAGGAGUUCAGAUGCCCUGAAGGGACCUCCAAAGGUUUAUCUUGGAGUCCAUGUCUGGGAGCGACAAGGAUUUGUAAGAUAUUAUUUAGGCCGUGUCCUGAAUCAAAUUCUCUAUUAAGCGUAAGGGUUAUAAGAAAGUGGAAAAUGAAUAUAUUUAACCAUACAAUUUUUUAGAACAGUUCACCCCCCACUCCCACACACACAAAAAAAAGAUCUAUUGUAUUAGUACCUUAUUGUUUUAUGUGCACUAACGUUCACCUUCUUUUUGGAGAAGCAGACAAAGAUCCUCACUUGAAUCCUGUCAGUGUCCCAAGAAGAAAGAGAUCAAAGCUUAGACAAUGCAUUUUGUCACCUGCUCAAAUCCAGAGGACACUUGAUAACAAUCUCCAGGCACCAGACUUUGAAAUAAUAUCUGACGGAGAUGAACCUGUUACUCUAAUUUAUGCAAGGAACAAAUACAUUCCUCCUAAUGAGGUUGGUCUUGGAGCUAUGCUGCUAGUAUCACCAACUACUACUACAGAACGCUUGACGCCUCUAUCAGCAAUGGCAGUUCCUCCUAAUGAGAUUGGUCACGAACCUAUGCUGCUAGUAUCACCAACUACUACUAUAGAACGCUCGACACCUCAAUUAGCAAUGGAAGAAGAUACUGUUUCUUGCUCAAUGGAUGUUUCUAAAUAAAAUUCAUCUAUAAGUGAAUUUUUAGAUGCAUGCAUAACAUUCAAGUUGGUAUGUGAAGCCAGCUCUUAUUGUCUAGCUAGUGCAAUGUUGGCUAAAUACAAUUUGCGCUGUUCCAACUUUACAGAUUUCCCCGACAGUCUGGGUGUUUUGAGACCAUCUAGUUUAUCUUGUUCUGGAUAUUUAUAGUUUCUUCCAUUUUAAUGGAUUGAAUUUUUAGACACGUCAAUUCUGCUUUUUGGAUGCAUUUAAUAUGUCAAUUCCGAAGUCUAUCAUGCGUGCUUACCUACAAGUUUGUCAGUUUGCGUGGACUCCACAGUAGACUAAAAUUGUAACAUCACAACGGCAAUUUGACUUACAUAUGCUUGACAUGUUGUAAUGUCUUGCAUUGUACUUGUUUCAGGAGAAAGAACAAUGUACUAGAUCAUGUGGCUAUGCAAAAUGAAACUACUGGAAAUGAGGAUGGAAAAGCAAAUGCAUGUGAUAAUAGACUCGCACCAGAUCAUAUGAAUACUACAUCAAGGGUAUGUCGGAUAAAUUGUUCUAAAAAAUGUUGUUGCUAUUGAAUUUUCAUCUGUAUAUGGAGAUGAACAUCUUAUUAUUGAAGAAAUAGGUAUAUCAGCCUCAGGAUAAGGUAUGCUCAACCAAAAAAAGUUUAAAAAUAAGUCUACCAAAAAGUCUCUUCGAUCUCCUUCUAAGUUAUUAGGACAAGUCGAUAAGACACUACACCUUCCAAUAAUAGCUGUUACAGAAUGACAAAAGUCCCACAUCGGUGGUUUAUGAGAUGGGUGGACUCCUUAUAAGAUUUGAUCAAUCCUCUUCUCUUUGAGCUAGCGUUUGGGUGUGAGUUAGGUCUAAGACCUAAUUUAACAUGGUAUCAGAGCAGGGCUCAUCUCACCCAAUGUUGGGGCCCCCAAAAUCAAAAUUGCCCACGCACCAGAUGCUAAGCACUCGGCGUGAGUGGGGUGUUAAUGAAUGCAAAGUCCCACAUCGGUGGUUUAUGAGAGUGGAUGAACUCCUUAUAAGGCUUGGCAAUCCUCCUCCCUUUGAGCUAGCUUUUGGGUGUGAGUUAGGCCUAAAACCUAAUUUAAAAAUAGCUACACUAAAAGAGAUGCUAGAGAGCCAUUAUUAAAUAAUCCGAGAGCAAUUAUCAUAAAGAUAAAUGAAGCAUGAUGAGCUUAAAUGAAGCAAGAUAAUAAAGAUUCAUAGAGUUGCCCCAACUAGCUUGAAGUGAGGCAUGAUAGUGGUUGUGAAUUGGAAGUCAGUAAGAAUAAAAUAAAGAAAAAUCCAUCUGCUUAGAUACACGAAAUUCUGUCAAUGGCGGCAGAUGAAUACACAAGCAUAGUAAGAUAGAAAAAAUAAGUGCCGCUGCUGCAUCUCAGAAGCAGAGACUGGCCUGGAAAAGGAAUCAUCCAUAACUGAGUCCAUUUAACAAUAAAACGGUUGCCAAGACCGUAAUAGAUUAUCUGCAUUUCAAGAACAAGGAAAUAUUGUUCAGAUGAGUCAAUAUCAUCUUACCAAAAUAUUGCGAGUCGAGUCUUCAGGACUAACAGUUGAGACAAGGACCUCUAAAAUUGAAGAUAAAAGUGCCAAGAAAAAGCAUGAGAACAUUCAUGAUUUGGAAGCUCACUAAGGUGUGUUCAAACAGUCAAUUGGGAAGUUUUUGGCGACUAAUUUUCUUUUCACUUGGUUAUUUGGCAACUAUCUUAUUUCCUCACUCUUAGAUAUUUCAAUUAUCAUAUUGAAAAUAUUUAAUGCUCCCUUAUCUUAAGAUUUGUUGCUUAACAAGCCUUGACCACUUAACUAAAGGCCUAAAAUUAUGAAGGUUCACCAAAUCCAGCAUUCUCCCCCAAAUCCCCACCCCCAUUUUUUAAUAGAGAAUCUAAGACUUCUCUCAUUGGAGUUCUAUUGCCAAUAAUUGAGAAUUUACAGUAAUCAAAGUUGAUGAGCUGUCACAAAAGGGAAAACAGAUCCCCCAAGGCCUAGCUCGAGUGGCAAAAGGUGGAGGAUUUGUGGCUUAGGUCGCAGGUUGAAGCCCCAUACCAUGCAAAGCGAAGCCCGGUAUUUAAGUGGAGAAGGGUAGAGGGGCGGGCCCAUUAUCCACCGAGUUUAGAAGGCUAUGAUUGGUCCAAAGGGCGGAUCACAGACGGAUUUCUCGGUUAUCAAAAAAAAAAAAAAAAAAGGGAAAACAGAAUCAAUCAAAGUUAAUGACCCUCUAUCAUGAUUAAUCUAUUUCCAUAAAUAAAUGACCAGCUGUAGUCUAUCUGUCUAUAUAUUUUAUCCGUCGCCUCAGACAGACAUUUUGAGAUUUUGAAAGCAAAUCCAACUCUAACGUUAGCAGCAGUACAUUCAACCUGAUUUGAACUGGAAUCAUUCAGAACCAGAUUUUAUGGGUAAACAAGGGCCAUGUUGCCAUUGUGGCAUCGAGCGUAAGUACUAUUAAACACCUAUAUUCCACCUUUUAUGUUUAUCAAUAAUCUCGUGCUUUACAGGAUAAUUGAUUCAGUGAAGCUUAGAAUUAAUGUGCCUGAUGAUAAGUAAAUAAACAGUGAAGACUCACAUGCCUGAAACAGUAAAUAACCAAAUUUCCCUAAAUUGCCAAUCUGUUAAACAUAAAGCAUAGCGUACUUGAAUUUUCUCACCUCUCGAGCCAAAUGCUAAUUGAUUUUCAAAACAGCUCCCCUUAGUCUAAUAGGAACUAAGGUCAUCUUGGAUAAAUUGUAGAUUUGGUCCCCAAUCGCUGGCAUAGAUGCACAUUUUAGACCCUGCUGUAUUCCGCUUCAAAUUUGGCACCAAUGACCCUGCUCCACAACAACUGUCUUAGAGCUUUGCUUUAAAAUUCCAGAUUUUUUAUCCCAAGCCCCCAUUCUUCUUAGCAGACAUCACAGAUUUCUAUUUUACCAGGUGGUACCCUUUCUUUUCUUUGUUUCCCUGCCACAAAAACUCUCUCCUAAUGUUGUCCAACCUUUUGAUAACCCCUGGUGGGAUGGGAAAUAAAGGCAUCAUAUAAGUUGGUAAAGCAUCAAGGACUGAAUUAAUGAGAGUCGGUCUUCCUCUAAGGAGAGGUAUUGAGUUUUCCACCUGGCAAGCUUUUUUUCACACUUCUUUAUCACUCUAUCCCAUAUUUGUAUAGAUUUAGAUUUAGCCCCAGAGGUAGCCCCAAGUAAAUUGUUGGCAGACUGCCAAAUUCUCCAUCAUGUAUAGCAGCUAGCAAGUUCAUGUUGGUGACUUCAUUUAUACAAUACAUUAGGCUCUUCCUCUAAAAUCUAUGUUGCUUGGAAUCUCUGAAAUUGUUGCCGCACCCGUGUCGAAUUCUCCAAAAUGCACUACUUUUGGAGUAUCCGACAUGGUACCUCUUGACAUUUUUGAAAAAUCUGAGCAACAUAGACUAUAAUACCUAUUCCAUUUCUAAUCCUCAAACUUCCUGAGUACCUUAACUUGAGCCCGCCUAUAUCCCUAGUCUUAGUUCCUACCCAUUAGGUUUCCUAAACACAAGGUAUAUUGAUCCUCCUUCUCUUUCUUAUAAUCACCAACUCUAUUGACUUCCUCGCCAAUAUCCCUAUGUUCCAAGACAGAACUCACAACCUAGGAGUUCCCUUGGUACCCUUACCACCCCUGUCCUCACCCCAAAUCAUUGACAUGACUUUUAACUACCACCUAUUGAAGCCACUAAUGCAAGUUAUAGAAUAAUCAAGUGGGGCAACUCACACAAUACAAUGAAGAAAAUAAAAAAAGCAACAGCAAAGAUACCAAUUCAAAGUAGGAACCAAGAAAAUGUAGUAAUAUUCAUAAACAAUCAUAUCAGAUUUAAGGAAAUAAGUUAACAAUCAAGCAACAAUAAGGAUCUGAACAAUAUCUCAAGGAAAAAUCAGGUCUAGAUAAGACAGGAAAAUAUAUAAAAGGUGUGGUGGAUCAAACCUAGGCGUUGAUGGGGAUAAAAAAUACUAUGGACGGAUUUUCCGAAAUCCAGCGAGCUCUGAUAUACUCCUUUGGUCUGUCGGUCAUCAGUCAUCAGGAUGGGGUCGCUGGAUUCUUGCUGGUGUUGAGCUCUAGAGAAAAAGAUAGUCCCUGUUGAAUAUUAUACAGUUAACCACUGUCAGAUUAGUUGAUAGCGCUCCUCCUUAAAAUAUCAUGCAAAGAAAUGCAGUCUGCCAAGAGGUUAACUAUUUUGCAUGGUUCAUUAACACAACAAGCAAAUCCUUUUCAAUCUUUCCACCAUCAAUAUCGUUCAACUAUGCUGUAUGGUGCCAUAAAAUGGUGAUGAAAAUGUGUGUAUAAAAGCAGUUGACACAUCCUAAAAGUCUAUAUAUGUUUCACAGAAAGAUAUUUCCUCCUGUUUUGCUAAAGAUAUUCCCCGCUAUACGUACUCUAGUUUCGUGACGCUUUUGUUCUCGUGCAGUACAUUCUAAACCUUUUACAGAAAAUCUUAAUUGUCAAUGAUCAUUGUGCUUUAGUUUCUGAGAUAAGUUACCUGUAAGAUUUUAUUCAUAUUUUGUCCCAUUUAAAUGCUAAUUAAUUGUGAACUCAAACAGAAACCCCCCUAUGGAGACCUGGACCAACUGCAAAACCAGUGCUCUGCAAUGCAUGUGGAUUAAGAUGGCAAACUAAAGAGACACUAGAUGACUAUCUUCCCAAACAUGCAAGCACAGAGUUACCUUCUGAGAUGAAGCUGGAAGUUGGCGAAGAGGUUUCUGGACAGGAUGGCUCUUCAGCUUGUCUUGAGGAGGAAAUGAUUAACAUAUCAAGCUUAGGUUCAGCAGGAUCAUCCCCAGACAAAUGCAUGCAAAUGGAAGAAACAAAUGGUAAAAAAAUUUCACUUAUAUAUACAUGAUGGACUUAACCUCCAUCAUCUCUUUUGACGCUUGCUGCCUCCUCUCCUAACCCAGCUCUCUAACAACUCUAAAGUAUGUUCUGGCAUUGUCACUGUAGUCAAAGGCGCGCUUACACCUGGAAGCGUAUUGUGCGCUUCCCCUCGCUUUAUGUGUGCUUUAGUGUCGUCAUCAAGGUUCUAAGGCAAACUUUUCCUUGCCAAUGAACCUCUUCUAAAGAACUAACACUAAGCAAUUGAUAUUUUACUUGAUCAUAAUUUUUUUUCAAUUUCUUUGGUCAUAUAUUUGUCAUUCAUGUUUAUAAUUAUUAGACUUGGACUAAACAUAUAUAUUUGUAUUUUUUUUCUCCCUUUGCGCCUUUUUUCAUUAAAGCCCAUGUUUUAUUUGCACUUAAAGCCCCAACAGACCUUAGAGCUUUUUUGCGCUUUUCGCCUUUGAUAACAAUGGGCAUUGUCCAGUUCAGACUAGAGAUGCUGAGAAACAAAUUCCAGAUUUGCUUAGUAAAUUACAAUGCAAGAAUAGGUGGCUGUCAGUUUCUCUUGUCAAAUUGCAUAAAAAGCACCUAGGGACCAGCUGUCUGCCCUUCUUCUGUAGUACUUCCUGUGUUAAACAUGCCCUCUUUAUCAGUAGCCAAGUGACACAUUUCACUUUUGUAGGAAUGUCCCCACUCCAGAAAUAGUUCCAGAGAUGUUUUGGAUCCCCAGCCAUCAGCUGGAGACCUCUUCUGUAGACACUACUAACUGAAUAAAGACCACAUUUUUUAAUGCUUCCAUACUCAUUCCACCUAUCUUCCCUAGUAACUCUACAACCCUUUCCACCUCCCAAUCAGUUACAAGUCUUCUGAAGGAUAAAUCCCAUCCCUGUUCUGACCCAACAGGCAACUACAUUAGCAUCAGGAUUCACACAAAUUUGGAAGAGAUUCCUAAGAGGGAAUUGUUCUAUCCAGAAAUCCUUCCAGAAUCUUGUUUAAUUGUCAUUUCCCACUUUGAUAUAAAAGUCUGCCUUCAUUUGAGGCCACAAACUUGUGAUUGUUCUCCCUACUCCCACACCCCGUAAGGUUCAACUGUGUUCUCUGUACACCAUGGGGUUAGCUCACCAUACUCAUCUUUAAUCACCUCUUUCCCGAAAGCAUUUCCCUCCUCAAUGUACCUCCACAACGACUUCUUCAGAAGACUUUCAUUUUGCAAUCUCAAAUUUCAAAUCCCCCCCCCCCCAUCCUCCUCUGUCUUUGUUAAGGAGUACAGUCUUCCAGUUUACCACCGGAGAGGAGUUUAGAUGCCCUGAAGGGACCUCUAAAGGUUUAUCUUGGAGUCCAUAUCUGGGAGCGACAAGGAAUUGUUAGAUAGUAUCUAGGUCGUGUCCUGAAUCAAAUUCUUUCUUAAGUGUAUGGGUUAUAAGAAAGUGGAAAACUAAUAUAUUUAACUAUACAAAUUUUUGUAACAGCUUACCCCCCACUCCCACACACGAAAAAAGAAGAUAAUAUCAAUUGUAUUAGUACCUUAUUUGUUUUAUUUGCACUAAUGUUCACCAUCUUUUUGGAGAAGUAGACAAAGAUCCUCACUUGAAUCCUGACAGUGUCCCAAGAAGAAAGAUAUUAAAGCUUAGACAUAGCAUUUUGUCACCUGCUCAAAUCCAGAGGACACUUGAUAACAAUCUCCAGGCACCAGACUUUGAAAUAAUAUCUGACGGAGAUGAACCUGUUACUCUAAUUUAUGCAAGGAACAAAUACAUUCCUCCUAAUGAGAUUGGUCUUGGAGCUAUGCUGCUAGUAUCACCAACUACUACUAUAGAACGCUCGACGCCUCAAUCAGCAAUGGCAGAAGAUACUGUCUCUUGCUCAAUGGAUGUUUCUAAAUAAAAUUCAUCUAUAAGUGAAUUUUUAGAUGCAUGCUUAACAUUUAAGCUGGUAUGUGAAGCCAGCUCUUAUUGUCUAGAUAGUGCAAUGUUGGCUAAAAACAAUUUGGGCUUUCCAACUUUACAGAUUUCCCCAACAGACACGCGCAACAGUCUGGGUGUUUUGAGACCAUCUAGUUUAUCUUGUUCUGGAUAUUUGUAGUUUCUUCCGUUUUAUUGGAUGGAAUUUUUAGACAUGUCAAUUCCGAAGUCUAUAACGCGUGCUUACCAACAAGUUUGUCAGUUUGUCUGGACUACACGGUAGACUAAAAUUGUAACAUCACAAAGGCCAUUUGACAUACAUA
rnacentral:lncRNA from 1 species